GACGAACGCUGCCGGCGUGCUUAUCCAUGCAAGUGGACCCAAGGGACCCCACUGUGCUUGCACACCGUGUUUUCUUAAGUCCGACCGGGUGAGUACCGCGUAGUACCUGCCUAUUAGCGGGGAUAACUAUUGGAAACGAUAGCUAAUACCGCAUAAUAUUAAUUAUUGCAUGAUAAUUGAUUGAAAGAUGCAAGCGCAUCACUAGUAGAUGGACCUGCGUUGUAUUAGCUAGUUGGUAAGGUAAGAGCUUACCAAGGCGACGAUACAUAGCCGACCUGAGAGGGUGAUCGGCCACACUGGGACUGAGACACGGCCCAGACUCCUACGGGAGGCAGCAGUAGGGAAUCUUCGGCAAUGGACGAAAGUCUGACCGAGCAACGCCGCGUGAGUGAAGAAGGUUUUCGGAUCGUAAAGCUCUGUUGUAAGUCAAGAACGUGUGUGAGAGUGGAAAGUUCACACAGCGACGGUAGCUUACCAGAAAGGCCGCU
rnacentral:rRNA from 1 species